UUCGCUGGCUGGGGUGGAAGGCUGUGGACAGGCAGCAUUCACGCUAUGGAAACAAGCCCCUCACCCUGACUGGGUUGUGUCAGCUCCACGCAAUCUGAUUGGGUUGUGUCAGCUCCACGCAAUCUGAUUGGAUUCUAAGAGGUGACGUAGGACUCUAAUUGUGUGGCUCUGAGGUUCAUUGGCUGGGAUGGAAGGCUGGUGUUACACAGCUGUGGACAGGCAACAUUCACGCUAUGGAAACAGGCUCCUCACCCUGACUGGGUUGUCAGCUCCACACAAUCUGACUGGGUUCCAAGAGGUGACCUAGGACUCAUUGUGUGGCUCUGAGGUUCACUGGCUGGGAUGGAAGGCUGGUGUUAUACAUUUGUGGACAGGCAGCAUUGACAGCACGGAAACAGGCCCCUCACCCUGACUAGGUUGUGUUGGCUCCACGCAAUCUGAUUGGAUUCAGAGACAUGACUGAAAUGAGGUAUCUGUUGAGGUUGCAGGGAACCUGGGCAGGGAUGCUAUCUUCCUGUGACUACAGCACAAGUGGGAGAAAAUGUGGAUAAUUUUCUUUUGUGAAGCUUUCAUCGCCUGCAUCUGACCAGUCAGCUUGUGCAGUCCUGCUACUUGGUUGAUUUUUUUUUUACUUGAAGGGUUAAGCUGUAUUUGGGUUGAGUGCUGCAAAGUUUUCUUUAUCUGUGGGGGAACUGUACUGGUAAUAAAGUAAGCCUGAUGGUGCUGUUAUUGUUAUUCAAAGUUGCAUGCUUUCUUUUACCCAAUGUGGUUAGUGUCAGCACAUUUUGGAAUCAUAGAAUCCCUGUAGUGUGAAAGCAAGCCAUCUGUCCCAUUGAGUCUACGCUGAUCAUCUAAACAGCACCCAGACCCACACCUAUCCCUGUAACCAUACGUUUCCCAUGUCCAACCCACCCUAGCCUGCACAUCUCUCGACAGAUGGAGAAAUAUCUUAAAAGAAAACACUGCUAACUUGCCAAGUUUUGCGAGCUGAGGGGAUAUUUAAAGGUUAUAGAUGGGGUUAAAGUGCUUCCUUCUUUUCUUCCAUCAUUCUUUCCUUCCUUACUUCCAUCCUUCCUGCAUUCAAUCCUUCCAUUCUUCCUUCCUUCCCUCUUGUUCAUCCCCAGGGAGCAAAGUGUGGUCUAGGGAUAUGUUGUGAAAUUAGUAAUCCAGCCUAAUGCUGUUGAGCACAUUUUGUUCAUUUCUUGGGAUGUUGGUGUUGCCAAGUGGGCCAAAUGGUCUUUUGCUGUGCGGAAUCAAAAUAAGCAACCAGUAUUUCCAUGUUUCCAAUUCACCCUGCUUCCCCUCCC